rnacentral:tRNA from 1 species
GUUUUAAUAGUUUAAAUAAAACAUUGGUCUUGUAAAUCAAUAAUGAGAACUUUCUCUUAAAACU